GAAAGACGAUCUGGUCGAUCGGCCCGGCAUGUACGCACCGCGAGGUGUUUAGUGGACGGGUACGAAUCAGUCGAGGUCUUGACCUC
rnacentral:rRNA from 1 species